UGUGAGCCGCGUCCUUUCCAAAUCAAACUUGGGGGAAUAAUGUGUAAUAAGAGCACAAAAAACAGAAACAACUGUCAUAUCUUGGGAGCAGCACCAUCUAUGUUCUCUGCAAUCAAAAGGAUCCCUGCCACUGUCAAAGGGCUGCUGCUUGUCCCCAGAGGAGGCGAUGGCUGCGCACCGUUGAGAGAAGGCUGCACGAAGACAUCUUCAGAUGUGGGAAUUCAGCUGGAUAGCAGCGGCAGAGGAGAGCUGGGAGCCCCACUCCUGCCUGCUGGGAGCUUGUGGGUUGCUGGCAGCCCCAGGGGGACACAGCACCGUGCUUGGAGGGAGGAGAUGCAGAGGCAGCACACACAAGUGGCUGAGCCCCACAGUGGAUUGGAGCAAGAGACUUACCUGUCCCCCCAGCUAUGCAGCGCACGUGUCGGUUUGGGGAUCGAUCCCUUGAAAGAAGGGACAAGAGGGAGUCACGAAAGCCAAUCUCCCCACGUGUUGCGGUGCCUGGUGUGCCGGGAAGUGUUCUGCUCAGCUGUUCGCUGACCUGCCCAGCGUGUGCCGCGCCAUGAGGGCUGCUGUGUGCAGGUGGAAAGGUUUGCUCUUCUGAUGUUUGCAGGGAAGGAAGGAAGGAAGGAUGUCAGUGGAGUGAGCAGAGUAAUGGGUCUUGAUGUAGCAGUGCUGAGUCUUUAUGUUCCUUGCUUAUGGAGCAUUGAAGAGAAGAGUAAUUUAUCAAGAUUAUUAUGUUAAGAGAACAGCAGCAGCACUUUGAAGGGAGGGCUUACUCACAUAAAUAGCCAUGUAAAGAAAUAUUAAUUCUAAUGGAUUUCCUGUGUGUGCCAUAUGGAUGCAAGAAUAUUCAUGAAGUGACUCACCUGAUCGUCUUUAUCCUGACUGCCUGCGGAGGAAGAAAAAGUUAUAGGAGAAAUGUAACUUUGUUUAAAGAAAAAAAAAGAAACAAAAACAUCUGAGGCUAAGGAGGAUGGAGGAGAG